GGCCCUCAAAAGAUUAACGAGCGUGCUCCAAAUAACGCGCGUGUACAUCUUCAAAGUCCAGAUCAGGCCUCGUCAGAACCAUCUUCAACGAGCCUUCGUAUCCGAGAUACCACGCCGAUAAUACGAAUGGAAGGACGAGUCUCCGCGCGUCCUCGUUUCAAGACGAGGCAAGACGAUACGUAACCGCGCGAAAGAGAGUGGCGGAUCGAUGGAUGGGUCGAGGCGAGACACGCGCUAAUCGCGAAUACCGUUCGGUUUCGAGAGCAACCGGAGUCACAGGAUCGGCUAACAAUGAGGACGGUAUCCAGAUAAAUUCCAGCGAGGAGAACCCUCGAGGUAUGUUUACUCCGACAGGCUAGCAGGAAAUGUUCGGAUGCCUGCUGCGUCGUUGCGUUCUCCGGAGCCGCUUGUACCAGCGUUACGUAUCGCGAUUGUUAUGUUGCUUACGCUGGGACGCGGAUUCCAACGCCACUGAUGUUCCC
rnacentral:misc_RNA from 1 species